rnacentral:misc_RNA from 1 species
GAAAUGCGAUAAGUAGUGUGAAUUGCAGAAUUCAGUGAAUCAUCGAAUCUUUGAACACACAUUGCGCCCUUUGGUAUUCCUUAGGGCAUGCCUGUUCGAGCGUCAUCUAAACCUUCAAGCCCUGCUUGGUGUUGGGUGCCUGUCCCGCCUCCGCGCGCGGACUCACCUCAAAUCCAUUGGCGGCCCCCGCGUCGGCCACGAGCGCAGCAGAAACGCGAACUCGUGAGCCCGUCCGGGCGGCUCCCAGAAGCUACACCCACCCAGUUUGACCUCGGAUCAGGUAGGGAUACCCGCUGAACUUAAGC